AGCAGCCGCGGUAAUUCCAGGCUCCAAUAGCGUAUAUUAAAGUUGUUGCAGUUAAAAAGCUCGUAGUUGAAUUUCGGGGUCAGUAGAUUGGUCGUGCCACUGGUAUGUACUGGUCUUACUGGCUCCUCCUUCCUGAUGAACCGUAAUGCCAUUAAUUUGGUGUUGCGGGGAGACUGGACUGUUACUUUGAAAAAUUAGAGUGUUUAAAGCAGGCUAACGCUUGAAUACAUUAGCAUGGAAUAAUGAAAUAGGACGUUCGAUCUUAUUUUGUUGGUUUCUAAGAUUGACGUAAUGAUUAAUAGGGAUAGUUGGGGGCAUUAGUAUUCAAUUGUCAGAGGUGAAAUUCUUGGAUUUAUUGAAGACUAACUACUGCGAAAGCAUUUGCCAAGGAUGUUUUCAUUAAUCAAGAACGAAAGUUAGGGGAUCGAAGACGAUCAGAUACCGUCGUAG
rnacentral:rRNA from 1 species